AUUGAACGCUGGCGGCAUGCCUUACACAUGCAAGUCGAACGGUAACGGGCCUUCGGGUGCCGACGAGUGGCGAACGGGUGAGUAAUACAUCGGAACGUGCCCGAUCGUGGGGGAUAACGAGGCGAAAGCUUUGCUAAUACCGCAUACGAUCUACGGAUGAAAGCAGGGGACCGCAAGGCCUUGCGCGGACGGAGCGGCCGAUGGCAGAUUAUGUAGUUGGGGGGAUAAAAGCUUACCAAGCCGACGAUCUGUAGCUGGUCUGAGAGGAUGAUCAGCCACACUGGGACUGAGACACGGCCCAGACUCCUACGGGAGGCAGCAGUGGGGAAUUUUGGACAAUGGGCGCAAGCCUGAUCCAGCCAUGCCGCGUGCAGGAUGAAGGCCUUCGGGUUGUAAACUGCUUUUGUACGGAACGAAAAGCCUUCUUUUAAUACAGGAGGGUCAUGACGGUACCGUAAGAAUAAGCACCGGCUAACUACGUG
rnacentral:rRNA from 1 species